AUUUCUAAAGUUGAUGCAUACUAUAUAAAUGGCUCUACACGGCAGAUACAAUCAGAUGUCAUUGACCCAGUAUCUUUGUGGAUUUGUUCUUAUGCAUGGAGGAUGUACAAUGAGGGAUAUAGACAGAUUGGCCCGAACUGGUCUUACUAUGACAUCCAAGUCCUUUACCAACAAAUUAGCAUCAUGGGAAGACUGCCUGUACAUGAGUGUUGAAAAAAUCAGAGAAGGCUGGGAACGUGGAGAAAAGAAAAAAUAUCACUUAAAGACCCAUGAGUCUCGAAUGCAUGGGUAUGUUGACUCCUCUCCUAAAGGAGAUAAAAAUGAUGAAAACAAAGAUGAACUUUUUGAUUAUGUAGUGCAUUUGUUUAAACUAGGUGCACUUCACAAAAAUUUAGAUACAGCUGUGGAUAUGGGUGAUGGCCAUAGAUCAGUAAGAAGUGCAAAAUAUGAAUUGCCCAUAUAUAACAAAACCAACAAAACAAAGUAUCUGAUAGGAAGCAUUCACUUGACAGCCUUAGUUUCUGGUACAUUACAAGCAGACAAACAGGAACAGUUGAUCGCUAACAGGUUUGUAAACUUAAGUGGUGGAGCCAACAACAACAUGGCAUUAGAUGAAUAUGUCGAACUUUUAAACAGAGACACAAAACAGGCUUGCAGUGGACAUCAGACCAAAACCAGCAUUCUCAAGCAUUCCAAGGAAUAUCCUCAUCUCAUAGAUGCAAUUAAGCACAUAGACAUGAUAAAUGAAAUAAAAAACAGAAAAGGAAUUCAUAAAUACCCAAGCUACAAGAAAGAUGUUUUGAAAACAGCAAAUGAAUUAUUUGAAAUUUCUGCCUUCAGUGAAAUACCUGGUAGAACUCUGACAUGUAGAGCAAUUGUUUGUCCAAAAAAUCCGUUCAUGGAUGCAUAUAAGAAACUACCAACAAAAAUAUUUAGACAUUUACCAACAUUGCCUUUUUGUCGUUUAAGAAACAAACAUAUUUAA
rnacentral:sRNA from 1 species